CAGCAAUUUGGCUACAGUUUCUUAUCUUAAUAACUUUAACGCUAUAAAACAUCGUUUAUAACCUAUCACUGAUAAAACUAAAAUGUAUUACUUUAUUUCGGAACCAAUUUAUUAAUUUAUAUUAUUGCCGAUGCAGUUGAACCGAGGCUCGUGUAAGCUUAGUAUCUUGGCGUGUAAAUAAUUCGCAAGUACAAUAAAUUACGAAAUU